GGCGAGUGAAGCGGUAAAAGCUCAAAUUUGAAAUCUGGUACUUUCAGUGCCCGAGUUGUAAUUUGUAGAAUUUGUCUUUGAUUAGGUCCUUGUCUAUGUUCCUUGGAACAGGACGUCAUAGAGGGUGAGAAUCCCGUUUGGCGAGGAUACCUUUUCUCUGUAAGACUUUUUCGAAGAGUCGAGUUGUUUGGGAAUGCAGCUCAAAGUGGGUGGUAAAUUCCAUCUAAAGCUAAAUAUUGGCGAGAGACCGAUAGCGAACAAGUACAGUGAUGGAAAGAUGAAAAGAACUUUGAAAAGAGAGUGAAAAAGUACGUGAAAUUGUUGAAAGGGAAGGGCAUUUGAUCAGACAUGGUGUUUUUUGCAUGCACUCGCCUCUCGUGGGCUUGGGCCUCUCAAAAAUUUCACUGGGCCAACAUCAAUUCUGGCAGCAGGAUAAAUCAUUAAGAAUGUAGCUACUUCGGUAGUGUUAUAGCUUUUUGGAAUACUGUUAGCCGGGAUUGAGGACUGCGCUUCGGCAAGGAUGUUGGCAUAAUGGUUAAAUGCCGCCCGUCUUGAAACACGGACCAAGGAGUCUAACGUCUAUGCGAGUGUUUGGGUGUAAAACCCGUACGCGUAAUGAAAGUGAACGUAGGUUGGGGCCUUCGGGUGCACAAUCGACCGACCUUGAUGUUUUCGGAUAGGUUUGAGUAAGAGCAUAGCUGUUGGGACCCGAAAGAUGGUGAACUAUGCCUGAAUAGGGUGAAGCCAGAGGAAACUCUGGUGGAGGCUCGUAGCGGUUUC
rnacentral:rRNA from 1 species